ACAACAGAUUUAUUAUACGUAUUAAUUUUGUAAAAGCAAAGCGAUAGCAGACAGCGCAAAUCUGACAGAACAUUUUGACAUUUUGUGUUGAGGUGCGUUCCGAGCGUACGUAACAAAAUUCAUAUUUAGAAUUCCUUUCAUACCAUAGUGUUUUUUUUUUAUUUAUUGUGACUUUGGCGAAAGCCAUCAGCCAAAUACCAUAGUGUAUAGUGUAUACCAAAUCAUGUUAUGUUGGUGCAAUAAAGUGUUAAAUAAAUAAAUAAAUAAAUACCACAGAUAAUCGUAACAUACGAACGCUUAGUAACUAAUUGUUUUAAAAUUGUUGACGAUUUUUCAUAGAAAAUAUCAUCAAACUUUACACUAGUCCAUUUAUUUCGCUUCCAAUUCAAAAAAAAAAAAAAAAAACGAAACAUAAGGUUAUCGUUUGCGAAGUCUCUAUAAUAUUUGUUUACAAUAAAUUAUUACCACAAAUACGUACCUAAUUGCUCAUUUGGCUACAAGUUUGAAAACAAAAUAUAGUAUUUCGGUCGUAAAGUCAUAAUGGCAUUUUGUUUCCAAUAAAUUGUUUAUAUUUGCUAUUGCAUUACAACAAUAAGCGCCGUUGUGUAUCAAGAAGUAGCAGACGUCCUAAAUAUGAAGCAAUGAACCAAUGGAACUACGAAAUAAAGCCAAUAACUUACAUAAAUAAUGAAGGAACUAUCUGUUUGGAAUCCAAUUUCAGCUAAGAAAAACGGUCAAGAAACUCUUGUUGUUUACGCUUUUUUUUUACAAAUAAUUAGUUUGUAAAAAAAUAUAUGAAUGGAUACAAUGACUGUCAUAAAUUUCAUAUACAUAGAUAUUACAAUUGAUUGUAUUUUUUAUCUAUGUAUAGAUAAAAACUAGAAUCAAUCAAUAAAUCGAUAAUCAGUCGCACUAUUCUCGAACGGACCAGUCUGUACAAGAAGCACUCGUUUAAGAUUUAAGCGAGCCCAACGACUCGGCCCACCACGCCACCUCCAGUCUGGACUAACGAUGCUCGAAUCCAAAUGAUUUUAUUAUUCGAAUAAUUAGUAAUUACUAGUUUUAUAAUUCGACUACUAAAUUAGUAAAAUACUAAUUUCCGUAUUGCAAUUAUUUUACUAAUUACUAACUAAUAAUUCCCUGUAUCUGCUACUACCAAGUCCAUUCCUCGCAUCUUCUACUACUAUAAUACUAUGUCGGUGAUAACAACCUACGACCAUAAAAAAAACGUAAAUACAGUAGUCGCACGACAGGACGACAUUAGUCUAAAUGAUUUGAAAAUCAUUUGAAUAAUUCGAAUGAUUUGAAAAUCAUUUCAAUAACCCGAAUGAUUUGCUCACUCGAAUAAUUAGAAGUCGGAUUAGUAAAGUCGCGCAUCCCCAGUCUGGACAUAAUAGUGAGCAUGACUUGCUUCCAGAUACGCGACUAUGUCAAAAAAUAUAAUAGUUUUGUAUAAUGUUAACUAUUUCGAAGUCACUCAUAUACAAUGGUGAAAUAACAGGGGGCGGAAUGGUCGGCCCGCUUCUGGUUCUGAGGGGCCUGCAAUCGCCUCUAUUUCCCUUACCCAUAUCUAUAUUCUAUAUAUAUAUAUUUAUUUAAGUCUAAUUUAGCUUGUAAGUGUUUAACUAAAUAAACAAAAACACUUAUAUGUAUAAAUAUAAAUUGAAUAAAAAGAUUGCCAAAUUAAAUCAACUUCUUAUACUUGGGACUCAUUCAGUUUUGUCGCUUCGUAUCUCUGUCAGAAUUGAAUCCACCACUGCCUCUAUCGUAUUCCUUUGCUGUUGAACCUCUAGUUACUCCAUAAUAUAUUUGUAUACCUGUUUAGUAAUAGUAGUAGGAAAACAUUUUAAAAUAAUUAGCUUAAAAUAUAAAAUACACGCAAUUAAUUAUUAUAUCUAAAUUUAGUUUAAUUGGCAAUUAGCAAUUGUUAAAUAUUUGUUUCCUCAAAAAAAAUGGCAUCGUAAAUAUUAUAUGUUAACGGUUCUUAUCUUCUUAUCGGUAAAAAUACCGCUUCCCUUUUUAAUAGUUUUUUAUGCCCCUAGCGCUUGACUUAAAUUGGUUACUUAUAAAGUAUCAUUAUUUUUUUUUAUUUCUU